rnacentral:tRNA from 1 species
CAGAAAGUAGUUUAAUUAAAAUUCCAGCUUUGGGAGUUGGUGAUAAGGGUUUGAUUCCUUUCUUUCUGA